rnacentral:lncRNA from 1 species
CUCCUGCGCCUGCACUCGGCACUUGGCGGAGAGACGCGCAGGCCAGACAGUGGUGUGCUGCUACCGCUGCUGCUGGUACCGUGAGGCUCAGUUCACCACAGUCCUUCUCCAGUCACGGUAAAACAGUCAGAGAUUCCUUCAGUGCUCGGCCGGGGAUGCGCAUCUGAACCCGAGUGUCCCGGGGACAAUUACGCAUCGAGGCGCUGCGCUCUCCCUGUCUCUGUCUCCCAGCCCCCACAGACGAAAUAAUCGCACCGGUUGAGGACAGUUUGGCUGUUUGUUUUUGACAGAAUGGCAGGCGCAGAUUGCCUUCUGAAAACGCCGAGUAACUUCCAGUCGUCUGCCAUGUUUGAAGGCUCAGAGGCCAUCAAGGUGGAGGGAGGCAGCACGGAGAGCACCGUGGCCUUGUCCAUCAGCGCCUGCAAGAAGGUGCUGUGCAGUAACAGUAUGCUGGACUCGUCGGAGUACUGGCUGAGGAAUGAGAAAGCUCUGUGUAGACUCGGCCUGCUGGACGACGACACGGAGGGCAGCUGCACCAUGGUGAGUAGCAUACUGUGGAUGAUGAAACAUUCGCACCCUUUUGGCCACAAAGAUGGAGCAAGUCAUCUCUAGUGUAGCGUCUCAAAGCUGUAGCAGGAGUCAUGUUUGUUUGUAACCUCAAAUGACAGCGAGGUGACGGUUUGAAUUUGAAGACAGAAAUGAUGUGACAUCUAAAAACUACUUUCUUCAAUAUGCUUUCUGUGAGUGGCUUCUGGGCAUGGAGAUGUUUGGUGAAAAGGUUUUUGCAGCAGGUCGUUGGUUCUACCUUGCUGCUGUUUAGUAGACAGUUCUUUUUCUUAAGGUUUAGUAAGUCACUUUACAUAUGUUGACAAAACGUGUUGAGAAAAUGGACAUGAUAUAGGCUAAUAAAACCAAGUUGUGAAACUGUAAGAUAUUGCUCAUCUUCACCUUUUCCUUUCGAAAUAAUUUUGAAAAUUUAACAAUUGAAUGAUAAUUUCACUCUGUUAACAUGCAAUAUUCUUGUUCUAAACUGACAAUACUUUAGUAGAAACAGACGACCCAACCAGCAAUGCAGAAGUCAGAAACUAGCAUUUUGAGACAAAUAACUGAAGAUUUGUUGAAAUUUGUGAUUGACCAGUAUUUGCUCUAAAAGAAGUAAAGCCCUUUUUUAACUGUACUUCUUAUGCAUCAGCAGAUUUUGCAAGAAGUUACUGGGAGAGCUGGAGUUGAUGAUAUUUAUAAAUGUAUCUGAACACCUACGAUAGACUUUAAACCUUCA